rnacentral:rRNA from 1 species
AGCCACAGACAUAUCACCCUGCUGUCCAAGACUCUUUACUUACUGAAGCUAAGUAGGGCUUAACCUAGUCAAUACCUGGAUGGGUGACCACAUUGAAAAACUAUAUAUUGCUGUUG